rnacentral:rRNA from 1 species
CUUUACCGCGGCUCAGGACGAACGCUGGCGGCGUGGCUAAGACAUGCAAGUUGAGCGAGAAUAUACCUUCGGGUAUAGGGAAGCGGCAAACGGGUGAGUAACACGUAAGUAACCUGCCCUUGAGACUGGGAUAGCUCAGCGAAAGUUGAGGUAAUACCGGAUGACAACCAUUAAUGCAUGUUAAUGGAUUGAAAGGGAUGAAAAGAUGCUCAAGGAGGGGCUUGCGGCCUAUCAGCUAGUUGGUGAGGUAACGGCUCACCAAGGCGACGAUCAGUAGCCGGUCUGAGAGGAUGAACGGCCACAUUGGGACUGAGAUACGGCCCAGACUCCUACGGGAGGCAGCAGUGAGGAAUAUUGGUCAAUGGGCGAGAGCCUGAACCAGCCAAGUCGCGUGAGGGAUGACGGUCCUACGGAUUGUAAACCUCUUUUGUCGGGGAGCAAGAGCUCUACGUGUAGAGUAGUGAGAGUACCCGAAGAAAAAGCAUCGGCUAACUCCGUG